rnacentral:rRNA from 1 species
UACGAAGGGAGCUAGCGUUGUUCGGAAUCACUGGGCGUAAAGCGCACGUAGGCGGAUGUGUCAGUCAGGGGUGAAAUCCCGGAGCUCAACUUCGGAACUGCCUUUGAUACAGCACAUCUGGAGUCCGGAAGAGGUGGGUGGAAUUCCUAGUGUAGAGGUGAAAUUCGUAGAUAUUAGGAAGAACACCGGUGGGCGAAGGCGGCCCACUGGUCCGGUACUGACGCUGAGGUGCGAAAGCGUGGGGAGCAAACAGG